UCCUCUCCCGUGAGGCGCGACGCCCUCUUGGGUCGACGGCGCGGCGCCCGGUCCUGCAAGUCCACUCCCUUCCCUUUCCUCUACCAUCUCGUUCUCUCUCUCUCUCUCUCGUUCGCUGCUCCCCUCCCCAAUCCCCUUCAUCUUGAUGUUUCUCUCUCUUCCUCUCUUCCAUCAGCAGCAAGUGGGUUCGUGCAUGGUGGUGGAGAUGUACAAGGCAUCGAUUCUGGAGCUCUGGACGACGGCGCGGGUGUUGGGGCAGAGGUAGGUGGAGAUCUUCUCAAAUCGUGGCGACGCCGGAGUCUUGGCGGCUCGUCACCAGACCUCGCCGGCGGGCAAAGGUCUCUGCUGCAGCUCACGCCGUCUUCGUUCGUUUCUGACGAAGGGUUGCGUUUUUUCUCAAAUUAUUUUGGUACACCUGUGUUGUGAAAGAAGAAGAAAAGUUCUACAGUUGAUUGGACCCAAAUCUAGCAGGUGGCCGCCACCAUUCACAUAUGCCAUGGUCCCUUGGAAUGUUGUUGAUCCAUCCAAGGUACAGACCUCUGUAUUUGUCUGACUUUUCGAGUCAUCGAGCCGCUACAAUUCACAUAUGCCAUGGUCUCUUGGAAUGCUGUUGAUCCAAGGUAUAGACCUCUGUAUUUGUCCGUAUCUGUCCGAUGGUCUGAGCCGUCGAGUGAGCCGCUGCAAGGUCUUUUCUGUCACCAUCAAAUGGGGUGAUAUCAGGCUUGCACAAGAAAGGUGAAUCUUAUCUUUUCCACUACUCCCUAAAUCCCCCUUUUUGUUUCCCUUUCUUUUGUUCUCUCAUGUCUGUGCGCUUUGGCACCCUGGUGGCGAUUUUCCAUGCAGUGUCCCCAGCCCAGACACUUUGAAGCAAAGGUAGCAUAGGUGUGUGCAUAAUCUCUGAAAAGGUUAUAUAGGUGUCUCCAUCUUUUCAGACCCUGUAGUGUUACUCUAAUAAUUUAGAUUGGAGGAUAGGCUAUUGCAAGAUGGCUUCUUCCUAUUUAUUGAUUGAUCCAUUAAUCCCUUAGUUUGUCAUGAACUUACAACGUUAAUAAAUAAUGCUGCAGCUUCAACACAUGCCAUAAACUGCAAAUACUCGUGCAUAUUUAGCUCAUGGAUUUAUUACUAUAGAUGUACUAAUAAGAGAUAAGAUGAGGCACGUUCUUAAAAUUCUUUCUUAUUUUGUUGGCUGAUAGUGGCUUGGUGAAUGAUGGCUGGCCUUGUCUUUCUGAUGCUGAUACACGGCGCUGUCAGAUGCUUUGAGCCAAUGCACUCUACUACUAUUGGUUUCUUGAUGUGCUCUGCAGGAAACAAGAGGAGGGAUAGGUUGAUGGAUUUUAGAGAUCCAUUGCAAAUAUUAAAAUGCAUGAGAAGCAGAAGUACUUUCAUUUGUUGAAGCAAGGGCCUUAGGUUACAUUAUUUCACUUUCAUGCCAGCAUUUCCACGCCAAGACUACAACAAGUCUGUUUCCCACAUUCGGUGUCAUCCAUCAUGUGAAGGUUUUGUUGAUUUCACGUCACUAUUCUGAAAUGUUCUUCUUUCAGAUCUUGUGUGGACACUAUUCAGUAUUUUUCAUGUUUGGCAACAUAAUUACUGUUUGAGAUUUUUUUAAGUUAAAGUUGAUAUUUUCCCAUGCUUUGUCAGUGGUAUUUACUAGGCUAUUGGAUUUUAUGUUAUUUUAAUUUUUCGCAUUCACUACAAUAUUAUUUUUCUGCAUUUCGGCUUACUUGUGUUAUAGGUAUUAAUUGGUGAUCUUAUAUUUAUUUAUUUUGGUUCCUAUGUUUCUUGAUAGGUGCAUGAUGCAUGUGUCUGCUAUCUUGAAUAUCAGUGAGAAUUGUAUGUCCGCAAGGUUUUCUUAUUCGACAAUUCCAUCUGGUGUUUGAUGUUGAGAUGCGAAGCUCCGUUAUGUUGCCUCGUCUUAUAUUUUUUCCUUCCUAUGUACUUGUCUGCUGGUCUCAUUUUGGAAUGUCUCACGUCCUUGUAUUUGUUGACCCUUCAGGUACCAACUUUAUGCUCAGAUUUUGGUACCUUUGGUUUUCAUAUUUUAGUUUUCUCUAAUGGCUUGAACUCCUUGCCUUUGCAUAGGUUGAGUUGUUUAUUCAUAACUAUGUGACAGUAUUUGGAUAAUUUGACCACCUUUAUAUUUUUCUAAUCACCAUUACUUCACAGAUAUCAUGAUCAAGAAGUGAACUCUCAAAAGGCAUUCUGAUUUGCAAAUGUCCUCUCUUGAAAAAUUCUUAUGGUAAUUUGGUCAUUCUAGGUGCAGGAAGAGUAGUGUUCUCAAGCUAUUAAGAUUAUUUCCUUUAAAUGGUAAUUGUUAUAUGGUUUUAUUUUCUAAUUGAUCAGAUAAAUAGGUUGUAUACUGAAGGGGUGAGAUCAGGUGUCUUCCCUGUUUAUGUACUAUUGUGAGUGACUUCAUUCUUUUUGGAGCUCUCUUGGACAAACAAUUAGAGAUCAAGAAUAUGUUCUCGUGAAAACAUUGUUUCCUGACAUGUAGGUCAUUACAACCAUGUAUAUCAAUAUUUCCACUUACGAAUUAUGUAUGUUAGGUAUGUGCAUUAUAUGAGAUGUUGAAUUUUGACGAUUUAGAAUCGUUUUACUGUGUAUCCUUCUACACUGAAUUUUCUUAUUUAAAUCGAAACUAUUAUUGUGAGUAGAAGUCAUGGUUGGAUUAUCAUAUUUUACACUAUAAAUUAGCAUGUCCAGUUAUCCCUAAACUACAGUUUUUGACUAAUAUAUCUGCUU